CAGACUGCUGAAUGGACCUGGUGAUUCGGCCUAGCUGCUUUGCUUCUCCUACCUGUAGUUCUUGAAGAAAUGCCACAGCUGUGUGUGAUGGGGCCUUGAUCUCCUGGAGAUGGCUGAACACCUGC